rnacentral:RNase_P_RNA from 1 species
CGAGUUAAUCGGGCAGUCGCUCCCUAGGUUAUCCAGUUCUAUUUUAUAGUGUGGAUUAAUAGUGGAGAGGAAAGUCCGGGCUUCAUAGAGCAGGGUGCCGAGUAAGAUCGGGAAGCGUGAGCUUACGGAAAGUGCCGCAGAAAAUAUACCGCUACUGCUUGUCAGUAGUAAGGGUGAAAAGGUGUGGUAAGAGCGCACCGCGUCGUUGGAGACAAUGAUGGCAGGGUAAACCCCACCUGAAGCAAGAUUAAACAGCAUCCAUUACUGUUGCUCGCAGUGGAUGUGGGUAAAUCGCUUAGAUGAAUGGCUGUCUACAACAGAACCCGGCUUACAGAUUAACUCGUCUU